GACUUGGAUUCUAGACAAAGUAAAGGAGAGAAAAGGAUAACCUAUUAUUAAUAUAACAUGAUUAAAUAAAGAUGUAAAAAUUAUUGACCUUUCUGUAAAAUGACAUAGUUUUCAGUGACAGAUUAAAGAUCAAAUGGAGUAGCUGUCCAGACCAGCGUAAACGCCAGACAAAUGAUGCUAACAAGAAAAUAUGCUGGGAAAGACUGCAUGCUUUAACUGCAGCUAAAGGCAGUGAGUCUUUGGACUUGGAGAGGCUGCAGGGCCAGAGAGUGCCACACUUAGCCAGGCGUGUGAGCACCAUAGACUGCAACGUGCUCAAUACCAGGAUGACCAAACAGAAACAGAAGUGCUUUCCUAUGGAGAACAACGAGAGAGAGAGAUGUGACACUCACGGAUGAUGGGGCUGCACUGGCCUCCUCCAGGCAGCAGGUCGUUGAGGAUGAUGAGGAACAUGAUGAAGCUGAGAACCAGUGUAACCUUGAAUGAGAUACGCUCGCCCCCUCCCAGUGGCAGGGAGAAGCUCACCACAUCUGCCACAAUGAUCAGUAUACUGGGCAGGACCAGGGACAGAAAGGGGUUUUCAGACCGCAUUUUCAGCGACACCUGUGAAGCCAGAUGGGGAGGCCAGACUGAAAUAAUUUGUUUUUCGAGUUCUUGCGUCUAAACGUAGAGCAUUUGUUUAAGAUUGAAAGGGAAGAGCAUUACAUUCCAAAAUCAGACUUUGUCAGAUGUUUUCAGAACUCAAAAGAAGCCUUAUGUCAAUGAGUCCACAUCCUUCACCAUCGGUUGUGCAGAUCCAACUAUGCCUUAACCCCAAUUAAUGGGAAAAGAAACGCACUGCAAAUUUGGAAAUGACAUGGUGCUCAUCUUUUUCAUUCAUUUGGAAUUGUGGCAUGUAGCUGGAUCUACACAAUACUACAUAGCCUGGGAGGUGUAUGUAUGGAUCUACACAAUACAUAGCCUGGGAGGUGUAUGUAUGGAUCUACACAAUACUACAUAGCCUGGGAGGUGUAUGUAUGGAUCUGCACAAUACUACAUAGCCUGGGAGGUGUAUGUAUGGAUCUACACAAUACUACAUAGCCUGGGAGGUGCAUGUAUGGAUCUACACAAUACUACAUAGCCUGGGAGGUGCAUGUAUGGAUCUACACAAUACUACAUAGCCUGGGAGGUGCAUGUAUGGAUCUACACAAUACUACAUAGCCUGGGAGGUGCAUGUAUGGAUCUACACAAUACUACAUAGCCUGGGAGGUGUAUGUAUGGAUCUACACAAUACUACAUAGCCUGGGAGGUGUAUGUAUGGAUCUACACAAUACUACAUAGCCUGGGAGGUGCAUGUAUGGAUCUACACAAUACUACAUAGCCUGGGAGGUGUAUGUAUGGAUCUACACAAUACUACAUAGCCUGGGAGGUGUAUGUAUGGAUCUGCACAAUACUACAUAGCCUGGGAGGUGCAUGUAUGGAUCUACACAAUACAUAGCCUGGGAUGUGUAUUUAUGGAUCUGCACAAUACAUAGCUUGGGAUGUGUAUUUAUCUCAAUGGAACACUACUUAUGAAAGGUAUAAAAACAUCAGAUACAUUUUUA